UACGUAGGGGGCAAGCGUUGUCCGGAAUUAUUGGGCGUAAAGCGCGCGCAGGCGGCUUACUAAGUCUGGUGUGAAAGCCCACGGCUCAACCGUGGAGGGCCAUUGGAAACUGGUAGGCUUGAGUGCAGGAGAGGAGAGUGGAAUUCCCGGUGUAGCAGUGAAAUGCGUAGAGAUCGGGAGGAACAUCAGUUGCGAAGGCGGCUCUCUGGACCAGUACUGACGCUGAGGCACGAAAGCGUGGGGAGCAAACAGG
rnacentral:rRNA from 1 species